UUAAUUUGACUUCGCACGAGAAAACUUACCCGGCCCGGACGCAGGAAGGAUUGACAGAUUAAGAGCUCUUUCUUGAUUCUGUGGAUGGUGGUGCAUGGCCGUUUUUAGUUGGGGGAACGAUUUGUCUGGUUAAUUUCGAUAACGAGCAAGACUCUGGCCUACUAAAUAGACUCUCCAAUUAUUCGAGUCGGAUGUUCAGGGAGUUUUCGAAAAAUCAUAUUCGCAUCGUGAACAACCUCAGGAGCAUUUAUAAAGGUCUGGGAUGGCAAUAGAAUAAUCUAGAAA
rnacentral:ncRNA from 1 species